rnacentral:rRNA from 1 species
GUUAAAUAGCACGGUGAAAAGGGUGGUUAGAAGAAAAGUUAAUUGGUUGUAGCUUUGGGCUAGCGGUAAAAAACUAAUCCCACAAGAAACCCUUACCCCCCAAAUUAAGCAUUUGAAGCCACGAAAACUAAGGCCUAAACCAGGAUUAGAUACCCUGUUAUACUUAGAAGUGAACAACCUUAAGCACCAGAGAACUACGAACCUAAAGUUUAAAACUCAAAGGACUUGGCGGUUUUCCAAACCUCCCUGGAGGAGCUUGCCAUUGAAUCGAUAACCCACGAAAUACCUCACCAACUUUUGUAACAACAGCUUGUAUACCAUCGUCGUAAGUCUACUUCUUGAGAAAGUUGACUUUAAGGGAGAACCCUGGACGUCAGAUCAAGGUGCAGCCUAUAAGUUGGGGAUAGGUGAGCUACAAUGUUUGAACAAACCAGUGGAAGGAGGGAUGAAAUACCCCUCGGAAAUUGGAUUCAGCAGUAAGCCCCACUAAGACAAUGGGA